rnacentral:lncRNA from 1 species
CUAAACAGGUGUCUGUGGAGGGCACACCUGCUUAGCAGGACACGGGGCCCAUUCCUAACCUUGGGGGCUCCCAGUCUGGUGGUGGAGACAUAGUAAGCAAGGGGUGACAGUGCCGUGGAUAAGCUGUCCCGUGUGAAACCAGGUAAUGGACAGCUCAAUGCCGCUGAUUGGAGAGCAUGUGGAAGAGGACAGACAGCUGAUGGCCGACCUUGUUGUCUCCAAAAUGAGCCAGCUCCCGAUGCCAGGAGGCACAGCGCCCUCCCCCCUCAGACCUUGGGCUCCACAGAUUAAAUCAGCGAAAUCCCCAGGGCAAGCCCAGCUGGGGCCUCAGCUAGGCCAGCCCCAGCCACGCCCACCUCCGCAAGGAGGCCCUCGCCAAGCUCAGUCUCCUCAGCCCCAGAGAUCUGGAAGCCCCUCCCAACAGAGGCUCUCCCCACAAGGCCAGCAGCCCCUGAGCCCCCAGUCCGGAUCUCCACAGCAGCAAAGGUCACCAGGCUCUCCGCAGCU